rnacentral:lncRNA from 1 species
GUGCUUCAGACUCUUGAUCGUCCAUUUCAAGGGUCAUCCAGACCAAUUGUAGCAUUGGCAUAGAUUGUAGAUUUUGGUAAUCUCUAUUUAUAUACCCAGCUAGCACCUUAUAAGCUUAUUUGUAUGCUUCUUAUUUUGGAUUUUUAGUGGAUCAGCUUCUGCUCUUCGAGGUUACUAUGAUGGAAUUGCUCGGAUAGGACUCGGGUG